GGAGACGUGGCCGAGUGGCUGAAGGCGCUCCCUUGCUAAGGGAGUAUAGUGUUUAUAGCUCUAUCGAGGGUUCGAAUCCCUCCGUCUCCUCCA
rnacentral:tRNA from 1 species